UGCAUUGUUACAAAAUUUGGGAGGCACAUGGCGAUGUGGUACAGAGCUAGAUUUGUCCUCUACACGUUUCUGGAGGAAUCCCACCCUUCAUAUGGAGCCUCCGACCACAUUCUAGUCUACGCCUCCGCAAUGGAUUAGUUUACUGAGAUGGGCGCAAAUAUACAGCACCAGUCAAAAGUUUGGACACACCUAUUCAUAUUUAAGGUCGAGAGCCAUGCGUCCCCGAAACACAACCCAACCAAGCCGCACUGCUACUUGACACAAGGUCUACUUAACCCGGAAGCCAGCCGUACCAAUGUGUCGGAGGAAACACUGUGCACCUGGCGACCGUGUCAGCAUGCACUGCGCCCGGCCCGCCACAGGAGUCGCUAGUGCGCGAUGGGACAAGGACAUCCCUGCCUGCCUAACCCGGACGACGCUGGGCCAAUUGUGUGCCAUGGGUCUCCCGUUCGCAGCCAGCUGUGACAGAGCCUGGACUCGAACCCAGAAUCUCUAGUGGCACUGCAAAUAAAACAAUCUCGGUCGACCAACAGCAAACAAAUCGAAUAAUUGGGGUCUGCCCGAACACUUUUCAAUGCGCUGGUAGUGUGUUCAGAUUUCGAUCACCCGAAGCAAGCGCAGAACCAUGUAAAUACGUGCACAAUCUCGGCUUGUUUUUUUAAUCUUGUGCGCCUGCUUCAGGUGAUAGAAAUCUGAACGCACUACCAUCGUUUGGAAAAGUGAAUGUAAUUAUACUUUCCUGUAAAUAUUCUCACAUUACUACCAUCAAAAUGACCAUCUGCACAGACAGACAACUGACCUCGUCAUGCUGAUCAGGGUGAAAUUCAAUGGUGAACGAAAAUAUGUGAAGAUCAUUGACCUGACACUUGAAAAUCUUUUGAUUGGAGGAGAUGGUGACACGGCCAGACCUUGGUGUUUUCAAGCUCACGCUGACCAAUGAUGCUAAAGAUGUCUCUGGCAGUACUGUGAUGGGUGGUUCAGACCAUGAGUCAGUUGAUACGAUCAUAUUGAGCGAGGAUGGAAGCCCCUCACGAAAGCGUCAAAGAUAUGAUGACGAAGCAAAACAUGCACGUUUGUAAUUCAUUCUUCAAUUCAAGUGGCAUCAAAUGGAUUUUUCACUGCUGUUUUUUUUUUUACAACUAAUAGAGAGCAUACUGAAGAAAAAGCCUGGUGGAGAGGUUGUCAUCAAGGAAUACUCCAAAACUAAAAGCCUGACUGACUGCACCAGACUAAAGAUGAUCAACAUUCUUGUUUCGGCGAUGACGGCGACUCAUGGGACAUCACCACCGCGUGAGAGAAACAUUUGCACAAGGCAUCAUCUCCUUGUUCCUAUACCUGAAGGAUUCCUACACGACAAAUGGAUAUGAACAUUACUACGACCCUAAUUAGUGGAGAAGGGUACCUCUCGUAUAGAAUCAAAACCAUUCAGAGGAAUUUGGCUUCAUCAGAGAAACGGCCCACUCAACUAUACUCUGGAGGGCCAACUGCUUAGAGGGAGUCCAGUCCAUCCACUUUGGCCACCCUGAGGGAAGACCAGUGCAGAGAGGCCAUUUAUCUUAUGAAGCAUUCUUCUGAUGAAGAGUCAAACAGAAGAUGAAAUUGACCUUUGAGUACAGGAAGAUGACCUACAACCCGAGUAAAUGCUCCACCAUCCUAACCGAAUUUCCACGCUUUCUUGAUGUGAAGGGUUUGAUAUUGAACAUGAUUUUGUGCUGCUGUUUGGAGAGGGAACAUCAGUCAAGUUUUUGGAGAGGUGGCCAACUACAUUCAAGCAAAAUAUCAUCCUUCUAAGCAAGACCCUAAGCAAGGCAGAAUCUGCAGUUGAUGAGGGAGCUGAGGGAUGAGGGAGCUGACACGAAUGCUGAUGGUUACCGAAACACCACUUCAUGAUACAUUAUCCUCGUUGUAUGCGCAACGAGGCAAAACAUAAUUUCUUUACAAAGCAACUGAAGAGUUUUAAGAAUUUCACUAUGACCUUAGCCAAGAAACAACAAAAUGACAUGGCAUAUAAUUGGGAAACGUUCAGCCAGGGUAGACUAGCUAUAGGUCCAGGAAAGAUGUCAAGGCUCAAUUAGAUUGCUACCAAGUUGAAUGUCUCAGUGCACACAAAUGUUUUGUCAGUUAAAUGGGUUAAGCACCAUGGUACAGAAUAUCGUCUUGAUUUGGCCAUACUGUAUGUGGUGAAGUAGCCAUUGAAGUGCCAGUAUUUUACAAAAUGAAGGCUAUUGUUCUGAAAGAGGAAAAUGUUUUUUUGGUUAGGUCAGCUCUUGAAAUCUUAUGUUUUGUUGAUCAUUUGCAUGCAUUUGAAGUUGUUUUGAAGCCAAGUCCACCAUGCAAGGUAUUUCAUGUAAAUGACAUCAUGUACCACAAACCUUUUGAUUUGCUCAUGUCAAAUGGAGCAAGGGAUUUUUUUGACUACAUUGUCCCCACCUGUCACUUGAUAACAGUUUAAGCCAGGGCUGAUACUUAUGGUUAGGUUGUGAAAAACACAUUUGUUUUUAAUGUAAACAUCAGCAUUUUCCAACAAACCUAUUGAUUUGCUCAUGUCAUAUGGAGCAAGGGAUUCUUUUGACUAGAUUCUACUCUCACUUGAUAACAGUUUCAGCCAGGGCUGGGACUUAUGGUUUGGUCAUAAUGAACAUAUUUGAAUCUUGAAACAGCUUUGAUUGAGUUUAUUGUGAAAUUCCUUUAUAAAAUCUCAUUUCCAUUUACAUGGGGGAAGAGUAAAUACAUUAACACUGAAUAGAGUAAACACAUUUUUACUCUAAUACUCGAAUAGUGUCACUAUAACACUUAAAGUGUUGAAUACCUCAGUGUUCAUUUUGAUCAACACCGGCCAGUGUAGUGCAGUGUUAACUUUUUGCACUCUGUGUUAAAACACUAGAAAUGUAACACUUUGACCAGUGUACUUUUUACUCUGUGUAGAGUGAGACCAUAUGUACUCGCUGACAGUGUUAAAUUUAACACUUUCAAAUUUACUGUGUAGGUAGACACCAACACCAUUAAUAGGGAGGAGAUGGCUGGUUCAUAAAUGUGACCUGAACAACAUUUGAAAACCGUACCCCUUCAAUACAAUGGUUUAAAAUACAUGGGGGGUUCAUAGGUGCUCUGCUGUGAUAGGCUAAAAUAAAUGCUGUUUAGUGAUCACCAGAGAGGAGAAAGGAAGGAAGGCAGGAAGGAAGAUAUGAGAUGUAGAGGAGCUGACACUGACUGCUUUGCUUUCUGUUUGCUGUUUCCCUGGUGACCAAGCCAUAUCUGAUGUCAUGGCUGCGAGGGUGUGUGAGACACUGAUAUCGUAAAUACUGUCCUUAACUAGGUCAUAAUAUAAGCUUCCUACACCCCACCCAGACCCCUCCCUCUUCAAGUACAGACAACAUACACUUCCCACCUUUUUAAAAUCCUAACUCCUCCUUACAGCUGUACAGGACCCCACCUCCAUCCCACCUCUCCUAAUAUCUUCCCAGGACCCCACCAUAGUGCCCUCCAUAUGAACUGUGAGGCAGGAGCGAGGCCAGUGUAAAUGUUGCUGACUUGACAGAGAGACCAGUCAGAGAGCAUCAGGACAUGUUUCCGUUUUUCAGGAAUACACUAUUUUCAAACUAGCUUGUUUACCAUAAAAAAAAUGUGGGGACUCCAUUGUGUCUUUUUACCCCUGCUACAUUAGGUUAGUUCACAAACAUUACAUUCAACCACAGCUAGAGGGAAAUCAGUCAGACCGUUAUGCCUCAUGUUCCUAUGGUAAACGUGUCAAAACAUGUUAAAGUGUGUAUAUUUUGGCUGAAAACAAGGUGUCUACGAGGGCAGUGUCAUUCCAUUCAGGGGUUACAUGGUUUUAGUGGGUAGGCUGUCAUUGUAAAUAAG
ensembl:lncRNA